rnacentral:rRNA from 1 species
GACGAACGCUGGCGGCGUGCUUAACACAUGCAAGUCGAGCGGUAAGGCCCUUUCGGGGGUACGACGAGCGGCGAACGGGUGAGUAACACGUGGGUGACCUGCCCUCCAGCUCUGGGAUAAGCCUGGGAAACCGGGUACUAAUACCGGAUAUGACUCCAUGACGCAUGUUGUGGGGUGGAAAGCCUUGUGCGGCUGAGGAUGGGCCCGCGGCCUAUCAGCUUGUUGGUGGGGUGAUGGCCUACCAAGGCGACGACGGGUAGCCGGCCUGAGAGGGCGACCGGCCACACUGGGACUGAGACACGGCCCAGACUCCUACGGGAGGCAGCAGUGGGGAAUCUUGCGCAAUGGGCGAAAGCCUGACGCAGCGACGCCGCGUGAGGGAUGACGGCCUGUGUAAC